GAUGGGAGCUUGCUCCCUGAUGUUAGCGGCGGACGGGUGAGUAACACGUGGGUAACCUGCCUGUAAGACUGGGAUAACUCCGGGAAACCGGGGCUAAUACCGGAUGGUUGUCUGAACCGCAUGGUUCAGACAUAAAAGGUGGCUUCGGCUACCACUUACAGAUGGACCCGCGGCGCAUUAGCUAGUUGGUGAGGUAACGGCUCACCAAGGCGACGAUGCGUAGCCGACCUGAGAGGGUGAUCGGCCACACUGGGACUGAGACACGGCCCAGACUCCUACGGGAGGCAGCAGUAGGGAAUCUUCCGCAAUGGACGAAAGUCUGACGGAGCAACGCCGCGUGAGUGAUGAAGGUUUUCGGAUCGUAAAGCUCUGUUGUUAGGGAAGAACAAGUGCCGUUCAAAUAGGGCGGCACCUUGACGGUACCUAACCAGAAAGCCACGGCUAACUACGUGCCAGCAGCCGCGGUAAUACGUAGGUGGCAAGCGUUGUCCGGAAUUAUUGGGCGUAAAGGGCUCGCAGGCGGUUUCUUAAGUCUGAUGUGAAAGCCCCCGGCUCAACCGGGGAGGGUCAUUGGAAACUGGGGAACUUGAGUGCAGAAGAGGAGAGUGGAAUUCCACGUGUAGCGGUGAAAUGCGUAGAGAUGUGGAGGAACACCAGUGGCGAAGGCGACUCUCUGGUCUGUAACUGACGCUGAGGAGCGAAAGCGUGGGGAGCGAACAGGAUUAGAUACCCUGGUAGUCCACGCCGUAAACGAUGAGUGCUAAGUGUUAGGGGGUUUCCGCCCCUUAGUGCUGCAGCUAACGCAUUAAGCACUCCGCCUGGGGAGUACGGUCGCAAGACUGAAACUCAAAGGAAUUG
rnacentral:rRNA from 1 species